UCGUAAUGACAUCAACUUAUGUGAUUUUUUAAUCAUUUCUAAGUAAACUGGAUCAGUCUGUACGCGUGAGAAAGAACGAAUUGGUAACUUAACGUGACUGAAAAUGAUGGAAUUGAAAGUGCAAUAAAUCACCGCAGGUUUAGACAGUGGAAGGUGAAAGUUCAAAAUUUUCUAUAGGAGAUACAAGCUAAGUUUCUACAGAGUACCUUUAGAGAAAAAAAUCAAGCUUGUGUCAGAAAUGGUUCCAAGACGUAUGUCGUGAUGGUGACUUGCAAAAAUAUUCAGGAUGUUAGAGACCUGAGUGUCACGAAAUGAACUAUAGUAUCUUUUUUAGCUUUUCAAUUCAUAUACAGUCAACGCUAUAUCCCAAAUACCCCUUAUCUCGAACUUUCGAUAUCUGGAACCUUUUUGCCAUCUCUUGUAGGCAAAAUUACGUUGCAUAUCUAAAAUUCCCUUAUCUCUAACUUUCGCUUUGUCGAACAAUUUUCCCGAUCCCUUCAGCUCAUUUCAUUGCGUUAUCUCGAACUUUUCCCUUAUUUAACGAAAAAAACAUUCAAUUAUAUAAAAAGUUUGAUGUAUACAUAAAAGAGACUUUCAAAUGUUUACAAUUUUGGAUUUUUGAAAUCCUACUUAUUUUAGAAAUGACUAACAAGCAGAAGCUCGUGGUAAAAAUGUUGGCUGGGAAAUGCUAUAAAAGAAUUGCAGACAGGGUAAAAAAUCUAGUUCUAAUUAAGAACGUAAACCUUCGUAAACAAGUACGGUUAUUUCACUAUCCCGAACUUUAAAGGCCUUCGACGCUCCAUAUCUCGACUAUCCUCGAACUUUUAAUAUCUCAAACUUUUUUCCCUGAGAAUUCGAGAUUUUGAGCGUCGACAAUAUUUGCUGAACAAGAAAUCAUUCUUUCUAUAGGUUAGACGUCGGUUAAUAUUAAGUUAUUAUAUCACUUUAAGGAGAAUUACGCGAUACCACCCCGCAUGAAUACAAACGAUAAUUACAAAAUAGUGUCAAGAGGGCUUUUCUGCUUUUAUAGUGCUAGAUAAAGUAGUUGGUUGGUAGUGGAUCUGAAAUUCUUCGUUUGAUUUAAACUUGUUUACAGGUGUAUCAUACCCUUUAUAACAAACUCUGGCCAAAAUGGCUUCAUUUUUGUUACAAUGACAUGGUGCUGACGCAAGGUCAGCACGCGCAAACGAAAGAUGGUAAAUUGUGGUUUAAGUAGCAAUCCUGACAGGUUUCUGCAACGAAGAAGUUGCAUCAAUUAGUGUUUUUGCAUUGCUUCUCUAGUCAGCUACACUUUUGCAGCGUAUCCAGGAUCAAAAGCGAGAAGUGGGGGUUAAAAGAAAAUACGAGUAAAAACAACGUCAUCAAAGUAACUUUAUUAAAUUUUCCCAUCUCAUAUCUUAUUUAUGCAUGAAGAAAAAAAAAUCAUACAUACUUUUCAACGUGGCUAAGUUAGAUUUUUAGUUACAACCGCUUUUAUAGAUGUGGGGAUGUGUGAGCAUCUUUUUUACAUCGACAGUAACUUCAUAUAUAAAAAAUAUAAGGGCUGUUUAGCAAAUGUGAGGACAUUUUAUUUAGUCGAAAUAUGCACGUGCAAAAAAUAAUUUCCGGUUUCUACAACUGGAUUAAACAUUCUCUAUUAUUUUCAUGCGAAACAGAAAAUUGAUGAUGUUUUUUCCUUUAUCUAUUUUUGGUGGUACUAAAAUUAGUACUGAAUCAAACUGUGAAAAUUGGUUGACCCAGUAUUGAUAAGAAAUUUGAAAUUAUAGCUAGCUUAGUUGUGCAAGUAGUAGAGAAGAAUGUAGUUGUUUAAAAGUGUUUUCAUUUACACAAGCACUUACCAACAGGUUCGUGUAAAACGUUUUCGAAACAAAAUUGUGGCUUAUGGUUGACGUCAAAAUGUCUAGCUCUGGUAUUUCUGGUUACCCUUUCUUAUCCAUAAUGUUUUUAGCUACCUGCAAUUUUAUUAUGAUAAGCGGAAGUAGCUAGAGAUAGAUUUGAGUUGGUUUUGUAGUUGGGCUAGAUUAUGUAGCUAGGUAACAACUUAGAUUUAAUGGGCAAAUUUUACAUAGCUAAUCUGGUUGGAUAUUGUAUAGUCUUAUUUCGCAUGAUAUUACAAUACCAUAUUUCAUGGAAGAAUGGAGAUAAUUAGACUUCGUGGUGUGAAAGUUUUGGGAGAAAAUACUGAAUUGGUAACUGAGUGUUUGUUGCUCAUGAGACUAAUAUUUCACUUGUUAAAACAGCAUAGGAGGUAAAGGGUAAGCAGAAGUACCAAGCUAAACUUUGGCAUAGUGAGGUAAUACUCCCCCUGAUCCCAAUUAUUUAACGUAUAAUCGGAUUUAUAAAACUGAUGGUAUUACUCAUUGACCUUGCUUAGCAUACGCAGGUUUUUUUAACUCUCUACUUUUAAAUUCAAACUAGUUUAGGAGUAUCUAUUUGAAUGACUACAAAAACUGAAAAUCUUGCAGUUAUUCUAAUAGGGUGUCAUGCAAAUGUUAAUUGCAAAAUAUUGGUUUAUCAUUAAAAUAAAUUUUUGUACUAGUAAAAUAGCAGAUCCACAAAAACCAUUCAGAACUUUUGCUUUGCAUGAUACAUUGGUAAGGGCAUUAUUUAUCCUCUAGGACAGUCUACAAUUGUCUUUAAAAAUAAUAUGUUAAUGAUAGACCAAUAUUGUGCAAUUAACAUAAAAAAUCUAUUUACAAUCUGACUAGCUAAUAAUAUGGGGGUAUACAUGGAGGUAUCUUUUAUACCUCCAUGCUAAUAAGCAGUUUACAAAAAUCGUAAAACUGGAUUCUAAAUAUUGCAAACAACAUUUUGUAACACUGUCUAUCAAUAAACAAUCAAUGGGGUAAUUGCACAAUUUUUGUAAAAUCCUAUAAUUUGCUCUUUCAUGACUUUGAUAAUAAAUGAUAAUAAAUAUGCUGUUUAAUAUUUAAUUUUUGUGGUGAAAACCUAUUCUACCAUGAAGGAAAGCGUCGUCGACCAGCUGAAUAAGUGCCGAUAUUACGAAAAAACUGUUUUUAAAAAAAACAAAAAACAGAAUGAUAUUAGAAUCAAGUAAACUUUCUGCGUUGGACCCCAUAGAAGCUCCUCCACACAUGGGAACAAUGACCCUCGAUUCCUUGUUUUUACAAAUGGUCUAUUUAUACUGAUGGAGGGUUAAUGAUAUAAGUGAUGAUGAAUCAGAAUGCGAGUACGACAAUGAUGAUGACGUAACUGGUACCAUUGAAAACAUAUACAAUUUAUUUUUUGUAACUUUUUAAACUUUUUAUAAACAAGUAAAUAGAUAAAGUUAUUUUUUAACUUUUUUAUUUGGUGCUCACUGAAAUCUUAAAGUAAUACACUCAAUUUUCACGAUUUAACGAUUAACUAAUAUCCACUCUUAAACGAACUAUCCGCAAAUCAUAAUUCCCGCGAAAUGUAAUUUUUAAAAAAAAUUAUUUACCGCGAAAAUCAGUAUAAGCGAAAAUUAGAACCAUUAAGGUAUGCUGUUUUGUUAGUAGUUAACUAAGUGUUUUAUCUAGUUUGGUAUAAAUGCUUUAAUCCUAUCCAAUAUUAUUGUUUGUGUCAUAUGUUACAUUUAUCAAUACGACACUUACAAAGUUGCACCUUCACUUUUUUUAAUUUUUUUUUUUCAAUUUUUUUAACUAUUUUCAAUUUUACAACAAUAACUAGAACAUUAUAUGAUUACAAGGGACUAAUUUACUACAUAACACAACAUAUUCCUAGCUAACGAUUUAACAGUUCAACUUUGAAAUUUCAUGAUCAACCACAAUAUCAUCUCCUACAUCGAAC